GACGAACGCUGGCGGCGUGCCUAAUACAUGCAAGUCGAACGCAGUGGGGACGGGUGAGUAACACGUGGGUAACCUCCCAUCAGAGGGGAUAACACUUGGAAACAGGUGCUAAACCGAUACUGAUGGAUGGACCCGCGGUGCAUUAGCUAGUUGGUGAGGAAACGGCGCACCAAGGCCACGUGGCAUAGGCGACAGGAGAGGGGGAUCGGCCAACGUGGGAGUGAGAAACGGCCCAGACUCCGACGGGAGCAGCAGGAGGGAAUCUUCGGCAAUGGACGAAAGUCUGACCGAGCAACGCCGCGUGAGUGAAGAAGGUUUUCGGAUCGUAAAACUCUGUUGUUAGAGAAGCGGUAUCUAACCAGAAAGCCACGGCUAACUACGUGCCAGCAGCCGCGGUAAUAC
rnacentral:rRNA from 1 species